rnacentral:lncRNA from 1 species
AGAAGAGGAAAUAGAAUGCUGCUGACAAUUCUGCGAGCAUUGAGUGACAUGCUGAGUCACCAGAGAGAACAGAAUUUGCAAAGUGACAAAAUAAAGAGAUACAUGUUGCUUUUCACCAGACUAGAAUGACAACAGCAUGCAGCUGGCUGAGAUUCAUCUGGAAAACGAACCUUCUGGUGGAGGUGGAGGGAUCUAAUCUGCACAUAGCAGGGUUGUCUAGACCCCAAGAAGAAGUGAAUUCACUGUUGGUUGGUGGCUGAAAGCAUUUCUUCACCCUUCAUAUGGUUGUACUGAUGAACUAAAGAAUAUAAUCCAUGGUAGGAAACUUCCCGUGGGCCUUUGCUACUAAAAUUACCUAAGUUACCCCUGACUCCUCUAUUGGAAAAUGUAUUGCCAACUCAGUGAAAAUCUUAUGUCAUAGGCAGUUAAGCAGUUUUUUUUUCCCCUAUUUUAUCAUGGGCAGAGACCAAUUUGGAGAUACAUACAUUUGAGUCACAAACAGCACUCCCAGCCUGAGUUAUUCAUGCCCAAAUUCCUCAAUGUCUAAUAACAAAAAUGUCUCUUCUCAUUAGGAAUGUCAGAAACAGAGUUUUCCCCUGGGAGUCUAAAUAAAAUCACACAUCUGGAUUGGAAAUUUAAAAAAAUUGUCCAGAUACUUCUACAUAGUUGGAAGUUUAGCAUAAUACAAACAUUUAGAGUGAGCUUUUCCCCUCCAGUCACAGAGUUAUUCCUGUUCCUUUGUAGAUAAAUGAUUAAAUGCUAUUACAAGGUAGAAACUCCAAUUGUGAAGAUGAACUCUGAACUAUUAAGCCUUCAAGACUUCAUUCUGUAAGAGUCAAUUCUAGAGAGUUCUUGAUGAUCAGGUUGUAGAGCAAUGUAUUCAAAAACCAUGAAGCAAAUAUUCAAAACAUUCUGUGGCCUGGCUAUAUCCAGGAUCAAUUAUUCACAAUAUUGGGAGAUACUACUGCAUCAGUAAUCUUGUAAAAAUUCAUAAAGGGACUUCAGCAUGCAACUGAGGCUGGGACCCACUGUAGUCUAAGCCAUGUUACAUGUGUGGUGGGGUAUUGAUCUUCUCAGCUCUUAGGGGGCUACAGCCCCUGUGCAGGAGCAGGUCACCUCUAGCCCUCAAUCCUGCUUAUCUGGGUUAUGAAGAAAUAUGAUUAUUUUCUAUGUGAAAUAGGCUGAGAACACCUGGUGGUUUAAAAUCAACCCUUUCAUUUAUAGAAAGUGCUAUGGUCUGAAUGUGUCUCCAAACUCAUGUGUUGGAAAUUUAAUUUCCAAUGCAACAGUGUUAGGAGAUGGGACCUUUUGGGAGAUGUUUCAGCCAGGAGGGUUCUGCCCUCAUGAAUGAAUUAAUGCUGAUAUAAUAAGGGCUUGCAGGAGUGGGAUCACUUUCUCUUGCCCCUUCUGCCUUCUUCCCUGUAAGGACACAGCAGGAAGAACCUCACCAGAUGCUGGCACCUUGAUUUUGGACUUCCCAGCCCCUAGAACUGUGAGAAUUAAAUUUCUGUUAUUUAUAAAUUGCCUAGUCUCAGGUCUUUUGUUAUGGUGGCACAAAAUCAAUUAAGAUGGGUCAUCAGCCCGAGUGCCAUGAAGUCAGUGUAGGCAGCCAUUAGGUCAAUCAGGUAAGCUGGUGGCUUCCAACAGAGGGUGCCUACUAUGGAUGUGCUUUGUUUCUUUCUCUCUCCACCACCCCCUGUCACUUCUCUUUUCUCCUGUCUGCUGGCCUGCUUACCUGUUAUUCAAUUUACUUACUUAUAUUAUUUUGCCAACAGUUUUCAGAGGAGAGUCUUAGGAAAACAUUAUUAUAAAUCUUUAAUAAGUAUAAGAGAUGAGCGAUUGUUUGAAUGAACUUUACACUGUUGCUUAGACACCUCCUCCUCUGGAUUUACCUAUGGAAGUCCCUUAAUCUGGAAUUCUAUUUUUCACACACUUUCUUGUGUCUUGGGAUUUACUUACUUGAUCUCUCACUGGAAUCCUCUUAUCUAUAUUUCCCCAUAUACACACCUUUCCCAUACUUCAUGAUUCACUUACAAAUGCUGUCUUCUCUGCACACCCCUGCAAUCAGAAAUAUAAUCUCUUGCAUUUUUGAACUGUUUUAGCACUUUGCAUGCUUUUUAAUUUUAUUAUUAUUUUAAACUGACAAAACUAUAUAUACUAAUGGUGUAUAACAUGAUGUUUUGGCAUAUAUAUGUAUUAUGAAAUGGCUAAAUCAAGAUAAUUAAGCUAAGCAUUACUUUUCAUACUUACAUUUUUGUGGUUGCAUCUUAUGCCUUAAAGCACCUAUCACUUUGUACAGCAAGCAGGUGGGUGUUUGUAUACAGGACUUACCUGCUGGUGAUGAAUAUUUUUGGUGGCCUAUCAAGCUCCCAUUUUCCUUGUGGCAGGUUUCAUUUUCCAAAAGAAGUUGCAACAACAAUUCCAGUGUCACAUAUUCUUCCAGAACCUUGCCACUGAGCAAGGAAAAUUCACUUUUCCUCUUUUCUAUCACAAGGUCAAAGGGUAAUCCUGUCCCAUUUGCUACUGAUUGUUUCAGGAUUCAAUUCAGAUCCAAAUGCAAGAGGACAGGUUUGUUGGGGACUCCUUAAUUUGUUUUCUUUUUCUGGGAAAAGUUCUGGAAGCAACUUUUACCCUCU